rnacentral:rRNA from 1 species
AAAGCUAUUUAGGUAGCGCCUCGUAUAUCACCACAGGGGGUAGAGCACUGUUUCGGCUAGGGGGUCAUCCCGACUUACCAACCCGAUGCAAACUCCGAAUACCUGUGAGUACUAUCCGGGAGACACACGGCGGGUGCUAACGUCCGUCGUGAAGAGGGAAACAACCCAGACCGCCAGCUAAGGUCCCCAAAUUCCAGUUAAGUGGGAAACGAUGUGGGAAGGCUCAGACAGCUAGGAGGUUGGCUUAGAAGCAGCCAUCCUUUAAAGAAAGCGUAAUAGCUCACUAGUCGAGU